ensembl:misc_RNA 7SK 7SK RNA
GUAAGAGAUAUGGGCUGUAACACAUGUCACCAUAUUGAUCACCAGACUUGGUCCAGCUGAUCUGGUUGGAUAGGCCAGGUGUCCACUUUAACUCUCCUACAUCCUGCCAAAGUUCCUCACUCAGAAUAACAGGAUGCAAGUACCCUGAUAUAGAUUCUUUCAUCAAGGUAUUAAAAAAAAAACAAAAACUGCUACAAUAUCCAAACAAAAUUAAGUUCCUGUAUCUCUUU